UAACGAAUCUUCCGCAAUGCACGAAAGUGUGACGGAGCGACGCCGCGUGUGGGAUGAAGUUCUUCGGAAUGUAAACCACUGUCAGGGGUUAGAAAGUUCUGAUCAACCCCAGAGGAAGGCACGGCUAACUCUGUGCCAGCAGCCGCGGUAAGACAGAGGUGCCAAGCGUUAGGCGGAAUCACUGGGCUUAAAGCGUGUGUAGGCGGGUCGUUAAGUACCUUGUGAAAUCCCCCGGCUCAACCGGGGAACGGCUGGGUAUACUGGCGAUCUUGAGCCACCUAGGGGCAGUCGGAACAAGUGGUGGAGCGGUGAAAUGCGUAGAUAUCACUUGGAACGCCAAUGGUGAAAACAGACUGCUGGGGGUGUGCUGACGCUGAGACACGAAAGCCAGGGGAGCAAACGGGAUUAGAUACCCCCGUAGUCC
rnacentral:rRNA from 1 species